UUAUCCCCCUUAUGGGAAGCCAUUGCUAAAAUUAUACUCAUAAAUAUCUUGUUAUAUUAUUUGGCUCCUGCAUACUUAAUUGAUUCUUUGCCUUUGUCUCCUUUAGACUUAAAACUGUACACCUGCCAAAGAUACAAAUGCCUGCUAUCUACUGAGGGCCACUAGUUAAAAGCUCUGCAGAGUAUCCCUGACUGCCUUUCAAUGACUUCAACCCCCUUCAGCCUGAAGAAGCCAGAUCAGUCAUCACCCAUUACCCCUCGUGGCAGUUUGGGUUACUUCUUCAGAGGAAAAAAGGCAGCUAGGUCAGUUAAAAAUAUUAUAGGCAAUCAGAUAAGGCUGGGGCCUCAAAGUAGCCAGUACAGAGAACCAGAUGUCUUGUGACCAUGGAGGAGACAAAUACUUCCUGCUGUGGGCCAGAUCCCAAGACAAAAGGCUAAUUGGCCCUCGAACCCCACAGGGAGACCUUCAGAGAUAAAAAGAAAAAAGAAAAAAACCCAAUCUUAUCUUUUAGCAAUGACACUUGGAGUUCUGAGACAAACGGAGACAAGGUGGAGCUGCCCAAGCCCCUCCCAGACCAUGCUUCAAGUGCAAGGAAAAGGAUGCUGGGCAAGAGAAUGCCUCUUCCGCAAUCUCAAGGGCCAUUGGGAGAGUGACUGUCCUAGCCGCCAGAGAGUGGAUUCUUCCUCACCAUGGCCUGAUGGGACGACACAUUUGGAUUAAGGACAUUUUUCCUUCUACCUUUCCUGGGUCCUUUAAUUAUGAUAAUGACCUGUCUCCUCAUAGCACCUUGGGUUUUUAUUUCUCCAAUCUAGGAUGCAAAUGUUCACUAAUGAUUAAUUCCUUGUCCUGGCUGAAACACCUGGUGCCAGCUUCUACAUGGGCAUCAACUGUCAUCCCGUCAACCCCCUAGACCUCAGCACGUUGCCCCUGUUCAGCAGGAAGCAGUAAGAGACAGCCUUCGCCCUUUUCCUCACAAUACAAAGAUGGGAGUGAAAGGCUCUUGCCCUAGUACAAAUUACUGUACAAUUAUGGUGGUGGUCUAACAUGGCAGAAGGCCAAAGCAGGAACACCUACCACUUCCUAUUUCUUCUUCAGCCCUAAUUGCAACACUCCUUCCUGUUUGCAUGCACAGAGAAUUCCAGUCGGUUCUUCACACGUCAUCAAUAUCCGCCCCAUGCGCCACUUCAAUCAGAGGUCAUAUAACCCUCUGCCUCUUUGUAUUUGGUCAAAGGAGACAGCCCAGCCGCCACGGGUUGUGUGCUCCUUUCCAUGUGCUCAACUCAAUAAACCUGAUCAUUUUGUACUUUUGCUUCUCUAUUGCACCAGAAUACUCUAACAAUGGCGAAACAUACAUACUACAAAAUUUACAGUUUUAACCAUUUAUAAAUCAUUGUGCAGCUGCCACCUCCCACCCUCUUCAGAACUUUGUCAUUCUUCCUGGAAACUCUGUCACAUUACAUGAUGUCUAUCCAUUGCUUCUUUAUAUGUGUUUACAUUUUUUGUUGUUUUUGAGACAAGAUAUCUUUGGGUAGUGCAGGCUGGCCUUGAACUCAACUGUGGAGCGCAAGCUGGCCUCGAGCUCAUGGGAAUCUUCCUGCCUCAGAUCCUGAAUGCUAGAAUGAGAGGCAUGUACUACCAUGCCCAGCUGUACUUGUUUAAAGUGAGUUUCUAUAAUAAAAUCUUAGACUUUCAAAAACAUGUUAUAUUUUCAUUUUGCUAUUAAAGAUUGUUUCUGCCUACCCUA